rnacentral:tRNA from 1 species
AGCGGGAUCGUUCAGUGGUAGGACGCUGGUUUUUGGAGCCGGUCACGAGGGUUCGAAUCCUUCUCCCGCUG